GGAAGUAAACCGGCUGGAUCAGGACGCUGUCUCGAAAACAGUUGCCCGCAAGGGUUGGGGGUUCGAGUCCCUCUGCUUCCU
rnacentral:tRNA from 1 species